UCAUAAUCUAAUCCAAAAUUCUCUGUACGAGGGAGAUAGUCUGGAUCUGCCUGUAUUCUUGCUAUUAUCUCACACAGAAUUAUACCAUAGGAGAACACAUCUGCCUUUUCAUUGUAAGGUUCAUCUCUGAGAACUUCUGGUGCCAUCCAGAAAGGUGACCCCACCACUGGUAGCUUCUCACUGUGAUCUGGAAUUUUCUCUGCUAAACCAAAG
rnacentral:lncRNA from 1 species